AGAUUAGAACUUCCAGUGUCAAAUAUCACAGUGAAAGUCUGUGUAGGUGUGCCAAUACCAAUUUCACCAUAGUAUUGAGUAUCCAAGUAGUUUUUCAGUGCAACAAUAUCAGGGCAUCAGAAGAGUUCCCAAUAUUAUUACAAAAUUGAUACUUUUUGGCAGCAGCUCUCAUUGCUUCCUCUUCUUUAGAGUCAAAGGCUCCUACAGGAUGAUUGACUUGAUCUAAUUUCUUCUUUUUUAGUCCAAUUCUGAUCAACCCAUCAUUCUGUGAAGAAAGAACCACAGGGAAUAGAAGGAGAAGAGCGAUCCAAACAGCACUGAAUUUAGUUACCAUGUUGAAAGCUGAGAGAGUUUUGAUAGAGCAGAGAGCAGACAAAAAGAAUUGAAGCUACCAAGAAGAA
rnacentral:misc_RNA from 1 species